rnacentral:tRNA from 1 species
GGGAAUGUGGCUUAGUGGUAGAGUGCUUGCCUGGCAUGCAUGAAGUCCUGGGUUCAAUUCCUCAGUACCA